rnacentral:rRNA from 1 species
CCUACGGGAGGCAGCAGUGAGGAAUAUUGGUCAAUGGCCGCAGGGCUGAACCAGCCAAGCCGCGUGAGGGAUGAAGGUCCUAGGGAUCGUAAACCUCUUUUGUCAGGGAGCAAAGAGUGCGACGCGUCGCGUUUUGCGAGUACCUGAAGAAAAAGCAUCGGCUAACUCCGUGCCAGCAGCCGGGGUAAUACGGAGGAUGCGAGCGUUAUCCGGUUUUAUGGGGUUUAAGGGGUGCGCAGGCGGAAUGUCAAGUCAGCGGUAAAAUUACGGGGCUCAACCCCGUCGUGCCGUUGAAACUGGCGUUCUUGAGUGAGCGAGAAGUAUGCGGAAUGCGUGGUGUAGCGGUGAAAUGCAUAGAUAUCACGCAGAACUCCGAUUGCGAAGGCAGCAUGCCGGCGCUCAACUGACGCUCAGGCACGAAAGCGUGGGUAUCGAACAGGAUUAGAUACCCGUGUAGUC